rnacentral:tRNA from 1 species
GCCUAGCUGGCUCAGUUGGUAGAACAUGUGACUCUUGAUCUCAAGGUUGUGAGUUCAAGCCUCAUAUUGGGUG